CCUGCGCGGUCGGCGGGCGCGGGUGUGCUCGCGCUCACGUAGAGGCUGCGGUCGCCUCCUCUCCCCGCGGCCGGCGCCUGGGGUUAUAAAAGGCUUACGGGCUCCCUCUGCUGCCCAGUCGCGCCGCCAGCGGGCAGAGGACGGAGGCGGUGGCCCGCCCGGUGCCGGCAGCAGGGCACGGAGGAACGCGCUCGCGCCCCGCUUCCCAGGUGUGUGAACCUGUAAAAUUAUGACUUCCAAGAUGAUCCGGUAUAUUUUAAUUGUAGGGAUUCUACUUCCCCAGUCUUUGGCCCAUCCAGGCUUUUUUACUUCAAUUGGUCAGAUGACUGAUUUGAUUCAUACAGAGAAAGAUCUGGUGAUUUCCCUGAAAGACUAUAUUAAGGCAGAAGAAGACAAAUUAGAACAAAUAAAAAAAUGGGCAGAGAAGUUAGAUCGGCUAACUAGCACAGCGACAAAAGAUCCAGAAGGAUUUGUCGGGCACCCUGUAAAUGCAUUCAAGUUAAUGAAACGUCUGAAUACUGAGUGGAGUGAGUUGGAGAAUCUCGUCCUUAAGGAUAUGUCAGAUGGCUUCAUCUCUAACCUGACCAUUCAGAGGCAGUACUUCCCUAAUGACGAAGAUCAGGUUGGGGCCGCCAAAGCCCUGUUGCGUCUCCAGGACACCUACAAUUUGGAUACGGAUACUAUCUCAAAGGGUAAUCUUCCAGGAGUAAAACACAAAUCUUUCCUAACAGUUGAGGACUGUUUUGAGUUGGGCAAAGUGGCCUAUACAGAAGCAGAUUAUUACCAUACAGAACUGUGGAUGGAGCAGGCGCUCAGGCAGCUGGAUGAAGGCGAGGUUUCUACCACUGAUAAGGUCUCUGUUCUAGAUUAUUUGAGCUACGCGGUGUACCAGCAGGGAGACCUCGAUAAGGCACUUCUGCUUACAAAGAAGCUUCUUGAACUAGAUCCUGAACAUCAGAGAGCUAAUGGUAACUUAAAAUAUUUUGAGUAUAUAAUGGCUAAAGAAAAAGAUGCCAAUAAAUCUGCUUCAGAUGACCAAUCUGAUCAGAAAACCACGCUGAAGAAAAAAGGGGUUGCCGCGGAUUACCUGCCAGAGAGACAGAAGUACGAAAUGCUGUGCCGUGGGGAGGGUAUCAAAAUGACUCCUCGGAGACAGAAAAAACUCUUUUGCCGCUACCAUGAUGGAAACCGGAAUCCUAAAUUUAUUCUGGCUCCAGCCAAACAGGAGGAUGAGUGGGACAAGCCUCGUAUUAUUCGCUUCCAUGAUAUUAUUUCUGAUGCAGAAAUUGAAAUUGUCAAAGAUCUAGCAAAACCAAGGCUGAGCCGAGCUACAGUACAUGACCCUGAGACUGGAAAAUUGACCACAGCACAGUACAGAGUAUCUAAGAGUGCCUGGCUCUCUGGCUAUGAAAACCCUGUGGUGUCUCGAAUUAAUAUGAGAAUACAAGAUCUAACAGGACUAGAUGUUUCCACAGCAGAGGAAUUACAGGUAGCAAAUUAUGGAGUGGGAGGACAGUAUGAACCCCAUUUUGAUUUUGCACGGAAAGAUGAGCCAGAUGCUUUCAAAGAGCUGGGGACAGGAAAUAGAAUUGCAACAUGGCUGUUUUAUAUGAGUGAUGUGUCCGCAGGAGGGGCCACCGUUUUUCCUGAAGUAGGAGCGAGUGUUUGGCCCAAAAAGGGAACUGCUGUUUUCUGGUAUAACCUAUUUGCCAGUGGAGAAGGAGAUUAUAGCACACGGCAUGCAGCGUGUCCAGUGCUAGUUGGAAACAAAUGGGAUUUGCCUGCUAUGACUUUAACAUUGAAUGGAUUCAACCAAGCAAGUUACCGAUCUUUUUUUUUUAAUCCUCAUCCGAGGAUAUAUUUUCUGUUGAUUUGUAAAAAGGGAGGGUGGGGGAGAGAGAAACAUCAAUCAGUUGCCUCCCGUACUCGCCCUGAUUGGGGAUUGAACCCGAAACCUAGGUAUGUGCCCUGAUCAAUAAUCAAACCUGUGACCUUUUCCUGUAAGGGACAAUGCUCCCACCAGCGGAGCCACCUGGCCAGGGCAAGUGUCCAAUAAAUGGCUCCAUGAACGUGGACAAGAAUUCCGCAGACCGUGCACCUUGUCGGAAUUGGAAUGACGUAGGCGUCUCUUCCUCUCCUGCUGCACUCGGAUGUGUCUGAUGCACAGUUCCCCGUCUUAACUGUCAAGAGUUUACAAGUGACUAACAUACACUCCAUGACUGAUUCAUUAUGAACCUCAUCCCGUGUUUCAUCUGUGGACAAUCACUAACUUUGUGGGUUUUUUCUUUUAAAAGUAACACUAAAUCACCACAUUGUACAAUAUAAAACCUUAAAGUUCAGUUGGUAUCACAGAGGACAAAGCAAGGCAGUUAAAAAUGAGGAAUUUUUACAUUUGUUAAAGAACAUUCUGGUUAGAUAAAAAAAUACACCUUACGCAUCUGAUUAUAGCAUAGCACUGCAUUUCAGUUGGUAGGUGGUCGGGUAGAAUGGGCCGUGCGAUUAAGGAAGAGAUGCCUGUAGUAUGUACCUGGUACUGUGCUUACCUAGUCUGUCUGAUUUUCCGGAUCUGCCGAAGACUAGGCAUAAACUAGGCCUCUAAUCUCGGUUCCAUACAGUGUGUGCUCCUCCCUCCACUUUCUAAGUAGAUUUUUUCCUCCCAAGUCCUUUUUAAAGAAACUAUACUGUAUUUUACCAAUCCCCCUUUCCUCUCGUAGGAGAAUUAAAUCUGUUUGAGGUAAAAUACUUUGAUUUAAAAAUUAACAUAAAGUCCUAUAUAACAACAGUGGGGCUUCUUAACUAAACUGAUCAUCAUUUGGUCUGUUUCUUUGUCCUUUUCCUAAAUGACUGAUGAUUUUGUCCAUAAAAUUUGUUGUUUUUCUUAAUGCUAAUACCUUGCCUCUUAUUCUUGCUACAGCAGGGUGGUGAUACUGGCUUUCUGAUUAAAUAUUGUGCCUUAGGAGACUGGAAAUUUAAAAAUGUACAAGUCCUUUCAAUGAUGAGAAAUUGAUUUUUUUAAAAAAGAUCUUUUUUCCUAAAAAGCCAAAAUGUUUUUUUCAAUUCUGAAAUGUGUUGUGACAAUGAUGACAUAUUUAUGAUCUUAAAUCUUUUUAAAAAAUG